rnacentral:rRNA from 1 species
UGGGGAAUUUGGACAAUGGGGGCAACCCUGAUCCAGCAAUGCCGCGUGUGUGAAGAAGGCCUUCGGGUUGUAAAGCACUUUUGUCCGGAAAGAAAACGCCGUGGUUAAUACCCGUGGCGGAUGACGGUACCGGAAGAAUAAGCACCGGCUAACUACGUGCCAGCAGCCGCGGUAAUACGUAGGGUGCAAGCGUUAAUCGGAAUUACUGGGCGUAAAGCGUGCGCAGGCGGUCCGCUAAGACAGAUGUGAAAUCCCCGGGCUUAACCUGGGAACUGCAUUUGUGACUGGCGGGCUAGAGUAUGGCAGAGGGGGGUAGAAUUCCACGUGUAGCAGUGAAAUGCGUAGAGAUGUGGAGGAAUACCGAUGGCGAAGGCAGCCCCCUGGGCCAAUACUGACGCUCAUGCACGAAAGCGUGGGGGAGCAAAACGGAUUAGAUACCCUGGUAUCCACGCCCUAAAGAUNCAG